GUCUACGGCCAUACCACCCUGAACGCGCCCGAUCUCGUCUGAUCUCGGAAGCUAAGUAGGGUCGGGCCUGGUUAGUACUUGGAUGGGAGACCAGGCUCGAGGGUCUGAGGAUGGGCC
ensembl:rRNA 5S_rRNA 5S ribosomal RNA